rnacentral:rRNA from 1 species
GACGAACCGUGCGACCGUUGUUCGGAAUCACUGGGCUUAAAGGGCGCGUAGGCGGGCAAGCAAGUCUGGGGUGAAAUCUUUCGGCUUAACCGGAAAAGUGCCUUGGAUACUGCAUGUCUCGAGGGAGGUAGGGGCAGAUGGAACUUCCGGUGGAGCGGUGAAAUGCGUUGAUAUCGGAAGGAACGCCGGUGGCGAAAGCGAUCUGCUGGAUCUCAUCUGACGCUGAGGCGCGAAAGCGUGGGGAGCAAACAGG